rnacentral:sRNA from 1 species
CGGGUUUACUCCUGGAUGUUACCGUUUCGCCCAGCCGGGGCCGGGCGGGUUUUGGUGUCUGAUUCGGCAAACGAAUCGGGAGCACCAUCUGCGUAGGCUGGUGAUUUAAGGCUUGCGCCGCCUACGGUCUUGGAUAGCCCCCGCCAGGCAGGGACCCCAAUAGGUUGGAUGCGCCGGCCAGCCGGCGCA